rnacentral:lncRNA from 1 species
GUAAGUGAUCCUGUAUUACCCUCUAAUGUAACCAUCAGCCUUACUCUAUAAAUCAGCUGGAAAAUGAGCCUACACUUAAGGAGCUUGUGCCUAGCACACAGGAGACCACUCAGAAGUAUGUGAGCAAAGAUGGGGAGGGGUAACUGGGGAUCACACACUGGAGCUCUUCAGAAGUUGGCACAAGUUAGUGGGUAGAUUGCCAGUGAGUCUUCAUUAUGUGCCCAUUACUUUCAGAGCAUAUUUAAUAUCCAAUAGUGAUAUGGUUUCAAGCCAUGGUUUUCAAUUCUGGCUCAAUCACAUAUGAGAAUUUUGAAAAGAAAAAGAAUAAGUUACACCACCUUUCUCAGAUUUUGAUUCAGUUGGUAUGAGCUGGGCACAAGAAUCUGAAUUUUCAACAAAUACUUCCAGUGACUCUGAUGCAGAGUUCAAGAACUAAGGCAAUAGAGUAAACUUUAGACAAAAAGUGUUAAAAGUACACUUCAAAGUCAGCAGAUCUGAGCUGAGAAACAACAGAUGUUAAUGUAAUCUGGAAAAACCUUUGCAUUCCCUUUUUUCCUUACAGAUCCUCUUCUUCCUAUAGAAUACUUCUGGUGACAAAAGAACCUAUCACUCUUCUCUGGGAUUGAGAUCUUGUGGAAAUCCUCUUCCUUAUGCUUUGAAGAAGCAAGCUGCCAGGUUAUGAGCUGCCUCAUGGAAAGGGCCACGUGGCAGGAGCUGAAAGUAGACAACAGUCAAAAAGAGACUGAGGCCCUCAGUCUGGCAGCCUGCAAGAAACUGAAUGCUGCCAACAGUCAUGUGCUUGGAAGCUGAUCCUUCCCCAGUUGUGCCUCAGAUGAGAGCCCGGUUCUGGCCCACACCUUGAUUAUAGCCUAGCAGAGGACCUAGCUCAGCCAUGGCUGGACUUCUGACCCAGAAAACCAUGAAAUAAUAAAGUAUGUUGUUUUAAGUUGCUAAAUUUGUGGUAAUAUUAUUAUGGAGCAAUAAAUAACUAAUAUAGAUACUAUCUACUGUAUAUGAUUGUUGUGAGAAUUAAAUGAAAUAAUGCAUGUAAAGGCUUAGUACUGUCUUUGGCACACAAUAGAUACUCAACAGUUAACAGGUUCAUGCCCUGACUUCCACCCUCUGCCUUCCAGUUUUCACUGAUCGAGCAAUAGUUGAAUCCCUGUAGCACUUACCAGUGUUGGAAGAGACAUUUAAGUAUAUUUAGUCUCAUCUUGCAGCUGGUAUUUACAUUCUUCUACUAAUUUACUUUCUGUCUAGUCUUUGCUAAAAUAGCUCCAGUGACAUGCAGCUCAUUCUUGAGGCUUCCCUUUUUACAAAAGUAAUGGCUCUGGCAUCCUUUGCUAAUCAGGACAUAGUCUCUCUGAGGCCCACAAGAUCAGCAGACUUGCAUCAUGAUCAUUUGAAACCGCAGCCCUUUUCAAACAUAUCUGCUGGAGCGUUAUUACAAAAGACUAUAUUUAAAUAGCCAAUGAGCAUAUAAAAAGGUGUUCAUAAGCAUUCCACCAGCUUCCACCCACACCCUGAAGGCCCAAUGCCAUAUUAACCACUUGCCCAAGGAAAGGGCUCUUUUCCUCAAGGAAGACUGCUCUCUUCUUCAGAAUCUAGUGUCAAUUUCCUCCCUGGUUUUCAGAGCAUGCUAGAUAGGGGAAAUUUCACUUCCCUGCCACCCACAUGGAAAUGAUAUUUCUCUUUGAUAGGGAUAAUUAAGAUUUUCUCAGUCUUGUAAAAAAUGUAAACAAAAGCAUCUUAAACAUUAAAAAAGAUGUUCAGUAUCACUAGUCAUUAGAAAAAUGCAAAUUAAAACCACAAUACUUCACCAGUAUAGCUACAUUAAAAGACUAACAAUACCAAAUUCUUGGCAAGUAUGUGGGGAAUGUGAAACUCCAUCUCUGGCAGGUGUGCAGUUUGGCACAACUACUUGGAAAACUUGGCAGUAUGUGCCAAAGCUAAACAUUUACCUAUUUAGCAGUUCCACUCCUGGGUGGAUGCCUAACAGAAAUGUGUGCUUAUGUCUGCCAAAAGAUAUAUACAAGAAUGUUUAUAGCAGCUUUAUUCAUAGUAGUUCAAAUGGGAAAAUAACCCCAAAUGUCCAUCAAAGGAGAAUGGGUAAAUAAACCAUUGUGGAUAUUUGCACAAUGGAAUACUACACUGCAAUAAAAAAUACUAAUUGCAACAUGGAUGAAUCUCUCAGACAUAAUGUUGAGUGAAAGAAGCUAGACAUUAAACAGUAAAAUACUCAGUGACCUUAUGUAUAUGAAGUUCAACAAUAGGCACAACUAAUCUGCUGUGGUAGAUGUUAAAAUGAUGGUUAUUUGGGGGGCAAUAUUGCUUGCAAGAACAUUCAAGAGUGCUGGGAAUUUCUAAGUCUUGAUCGAUGUAGUCGGUUACAUGGGUAUACACUAUGUAAGUGAAAAAAUGUAUUGAGAAAUACUGAUAAAAUGUGUGGACUUUACAG